CUUAAUUUACUUCCCAGAACACUGAGAUAGGUACUUAUACAUGUUUUAAAGCUUUUUGUGGCAAGUGAUGAAAACUGGCUUGGGUGAAAAAGCAAUUUAUUAUUUUGCAAACUGGAAAAAAACAAAAAACAAAAAAAACCUAGGGUUGGCGUGAGCCGCAGUCUGUUGUUUGGGCCUCAGAAAGUUGUUACAGCGUCUCUCCAUCUGUCAGCUUCUCUUUCUCAUUUUGGUCCAUUGCUCAGACAGGCUGUCCCCUCAGGGUGGCAAAAUGGCUGCCAAGCUGCAGUCAAUGAGCAAUCUCAUGUCAUAAAAGUCCUAGCCUAGGUCACAUGCCCCACCCCUCGGGGGGGUGGGAGUUGGGGGGGGAGUGCCACCCACAGUUCCUGGCUCCCCAGAGGGGAUUUGUGGUAAGUUCUCACAAAGCUGGAUGAGAAGCGUUAUUAUCCUCAUGUGCCAGGGCAAGAAACCGGGCUCAGCCCAGGAGGGCUCUGAGGAGGUGCAGAGUUGGUGCUCGCAACAGAGGGGCCUCCCUCCUCUGUAUCCCUUCAUCCGGAAGGUUCCAGCUGAAAGGACAGCCUGUCUUCUCCAAGCACAGAGGAGGGCAGGACUGAGCCACAGAUGGAGGAGGGAGGAGGGCCUCGAGAAGACAAGAAACAAGCUCUCUCCCCAAAUAAGCAGAAAG